AGCUGAGUAGUCAAGCGACAUUCCACGAUUGCAUUGUGGGAAUGUAAACAUUGCGAACUGUCGAAUUGAGACAUUUAAAAUGUCAGAAAACGUAACCGUAUUGUUUCCACCAGUGAUGUUAGAUCUGAAAGACAUCGUAACAAGUUUGUGACGUCCUUCAACAACCUCAGUAUGUCAGCCAACAGUAAUGUCAUAUCUCCAGAAAGCCAUCAUCUGAAUGCCGCAACAGAGGAUCCUCUCAGUAAACAAAUUACAUGCUGACCUUGACCUCGGCAUAGCAAAACACUUAAAAGCAGCUCCUCAUGGUGAUAUGAUGCCUGUGGUCAAGCAAACAGAAGAAUCAUCUCUCAGCACUUCCUUUGCAAGGGACCCGUGAAGAUCCGGGGUAGAAUAGGUCUUCAGCAACUCAUGCUUGCCACAAAAGGCAACUAUGCUUGUUGUAAGAGGUGACUAACGGGAUCGGGUGGUCAGGCUCGCUGACUUGGUUGACACAUGUCACCGGUUCCUAAUUGCGCAGAUUGAUGUUCAUGCUGUUGAUCACUGGAUUGUCUGGUACCAGCCCUCAGAAAGGUUGAAUAGAUCCACUCUAUUCAUUUUUUGUACAGUUUGUCAUCGUCUUCUACUCUUAGUCAGACCGCCGCCAUAUAGCUGGAAUAUUUCUGAGUGCGGCGUAAAACUAAACUCACUCACUCCUUUGCCAGGUCUUCUGCAGAUUAUAAUGACUAUCUGAAGAGGAAAUAUUGUUUUUACUGAUCAUGCAUUAUGGCACUGAUAAUAUCAUGCUGCCAUUAUUUACAACCAACUGAACUUUAAAUUGUUAAUUUGAUGAACAGCUUUUAUGGCACAACUGAACAUUUGAGAUACAUGUGUUCAAAAUGAAAUGUAUUGUUCUCAUAUGUUUAGCUACUAUUGGAACUUGAUAUGUUCCUGUUUCUUGCUCAGUUAACUUGAAUUCUAAUCAUCUUCUGAGUGUCACAGGCUACAAUUUGUUUGUCACUAACACUGCGCCAUACUUUCCAGCACUUGUGGUCUGACAGUUACAUCCUGGGCUUUGACACAUGUAGUCCCUGCAAAUGAUGCAGAGGCAGGUCACGUGACUGCCCUCUAUAAAAACUGCAUGUGCCAAAGGCCCAGCACACAUCAUGUCAGGCAACAACUGUGUUGUUAUGAUCCACAGGUAUGUUGUAAAUUUGGAAGGAUUGUAUUACUUAAUCAUGCAAAGGUAUAAAGUAUAUUCAAGAUAAUUCUAAACAAUGUUAUGGGCCAACUGCCAGCAAUAACAUUAAUCGUUUAAAAUACAAUGUAAUUCCCUAGAAUAUAUUUUGAGUAUUUAAUAAUUGGUUAACAUGUAUAUGGUCCGUGUAAAAGACAUGCCAUGUCAGGCAACAACUGUACCAUGUUGUUAUGAUCCACAAGUUUCGUUCAUAAAAUAGCAUGCAUCAGCCAGUAUGGACGUAGUUCCUGCGACAUGAGAAUCGACUGGCACAUAGUCAGCGCCUCGUCCAUCUGUCCAUAUGUAAUCACUUCGUUUCCGGAGCACAACUCAAAAACUCUUCACUAUCUUUCAACAAGAAUUGGUAGAUAUAUCAAACAGAGCCUAAAUUUGUGUAUUUUGCUAUUUACAGAUUUCUCAAUUUCCAUGGCUUAAGUCUGAAAAAGGGAUGGAUUUCGUUUCAAAAGAGUAAAACAAAAAUGCUCAAUAACUAUCAAUAAAACUUGACAGAUAUAUCAAACAGAUCUUGAAGUAGUGCCUUUUGCUAUUUGCAGAUUUUGGGCAUUUUUAUUUUAUGAUUUAAUAGCCUAAACAUGGAAUUAGUCUUAAAAAAAAUAAAGUAACUGUCAGAUGAUUUGUUCUUUCAAAUUUGUGGGGGCCAUGAAGAGUAUUUUACCAUUGCAGGGGACAAUAAUGACUGUCUUCUUGCUACCUUGAUUGUUAAUAUUGGAUGAAAAUGAUGCCGCCUUUUGGUUUUGUUUACAGCUGGAUGGACACGAAUAAUCCUUAUAUGGAUAAUCCAAAUACUUCAUAAGUGUUAAUAAACACUAUAUCA